GUUUACUGCCCUGAGAGGCUGGGACAGGGGGUGCGCGGGCCGAGGGGCUGGAUGAGGGAACCGACAGGAGCUGUCGAGCUAAAGGCAAACAACCGAUCCUGUUCCCGUGAACAAAUCCGCCCGCCUGCCGGCUCGAUUCCAUACAUUUUGUCCACAUCUUUCUUGAAGUGUCUCACCAAAACUGGACACAGUACUCCAGCUGAGGCCUCAUCAGUGAGGAGUAGAACUGAACAGUUAGCUCCCAUGUCUUUCAUAUGAUACUCCUGUUAAUGCAUCCCAGAAACUAGAAGAUGGCAAAUUGAAAACUGAUAAAAAGGAAGUAUCUUCAUACAAUGCAGGUUAGUCUGUGGAACAGUCAGAGACCAGGAUAUAGGCAUUCACGCCUAGUGGUUGGAAGGGGAGUCAGGCAGCCAGGAACAGAAACUCAGGUCAGAGCCAAAAAAUGAGAAAUUGGAACCAAGGCUCAGAGCUGGGUUACCUGAAGAGAAGCAAGGGAAAGGCUGGGUACAAGUAAGCACUAUUACAGCUGUGGGCAAAUGCUUUGAGCAGGCACCAAACUGAUGGUGCUGGGCUAGAGAGCUAUUCUGCUGACUCUUCCUACUUAUCAGGUGGAGUAGCCAAUCAAGCAAUCUGCUACGGGCCAGUGGCACUCUUUAGGUUGCCCAGUGACUGACUCUGCUGCAUACCCUGAUUCCAGAUGGGAACUGAAAGCUAAAUGUUUUGCCUUAAAGGAUGGACAGCAACAGGAAGUGUGUGCUGAUUACAAAUAAAAAUAAUUACGCAAGAGUAUCCUGCCUCCAUUUACCUGUUUCUCUCCCAAUAAGGAAUGAACCCAGACCAGAAAUCCCUACUUAGAAGCAAAACACUAUUUUAAAAAAAAACUAAUUAUUCGUUCUCUACUGAAGUAGAUUUUUUGUAAAUAGAGUAAUAGUGUACUGUAGAAAGGUGGACUCACCACCUUUGCAGCUGUGUGUGGCAUAGCAGCUAUCCUUUCUAGCAGCCUCUGUCUACAAUCACUUCAGUGGUCUCUUCUCAUGACAUAGCCCUCCAGUCAGGUCACAUCACAUUUAAGUCCAUCCCUUCUGGAGUAACAGAAAGUCCAACAGAAGUUGAAACACAUAAUCUCAAGACCUUAUCUCUCCAGCCCUCUAACUUGGGGCCCACUGGUCAUCACACUCUUCUCUCCUUCCUAGUGGGGAACCCAUGCCCACCAUCUACAUUGUGUUCCAAUCCAGAUACCCUAUGUCUGCUGUCAGACACUUCAUCAUUGCCUCCCUGGACUCUUUCCUAUCAUUAGCCUUUCUUCAGGCAUUUUCCCCAGCCCCUUCCUGGGGCCUUUGUAACAAGCAACAUCUCCCAGAGCUUAUCCCCAAAGGUCCAUUUUUUACCCUUAUGUCAGGGUCAGCCACAGGAGUUUACUCCAGUUCUGUGGAUACCAGCUAUCAUCCCUCUCUGGACUUCCUCCUCACUCUCCAGACCUUCCUGUUCCCCACAGGUCUUUCCACUCUCUACUUCCCUACUCCCCAGAAGACCAUUUUCCUCUCUCCCCAUGCAUCCCUUCAAACUUCAGACCCAAACAUAUUUUAAGAUUUGCCAUCACAGCCUCUUGGGAUUUACUGACUCAAGUUUACUUUUAGCUCAGGAGGUCUUGCCUCUGGCCCUAGACUUCCCUACCUCUGGCUGAAGACCUUCUGAUUCUAGAACAAGCAUCUCACAGCCUUUAACCCAAAAGAGGAAACUACCUUUCUCCUAGCUUUCUUCCUUGGGCUUCUCUCCAUUAGCCUGUGCUCUUUCCUCUAUGAAAACCAACUGGCAUUGGAACCACAGUCAUAGCACCACUCAGAUUUGGCCCAUCUAUGGAGGGGUGGAGAGGCCAAAUCUAAAGGGAGCUGUGUCCAACUUUACCCACUUGAAAUGUUGGGAGGUAUGGGCUCCUAUUAACCGUUUCAUUGCCUGUUUGGAGAUACAGACACCUUACAUUUUUCCAUGCUGUCCGUCCUCAGGCAAAAGCAAAAUAGGAGGCUGCUUAGGGCACCUGAAAAUUUGGGGCACUACUGGGUCUUAGUGUCCACCCUUCCAUCUUCCUAUCCCUGUUCUGACCCUGCCUGCAGGCUCCCACAGCUGACUGCUGCAGCUGGUGACUCUUACUCCGCAGGGGAUCUAGUAACUUAAAGUGAAAAAGCCUUCCAGCCAGCCAGAUCUAUUAGCACAACAUUGAAACUGUUAAAGAGCCAUUCAAGUGGUA